AAUUCUCAACCCCUCCAAUUUUGUGUUGGACUUGGGGUUUGGAUGUGGAGGUACUGCCAGCCUUCUAUAGGUUGACUCCUCUGAAAUUCAUUAGCGGAACUGUUUGCGAUCCGUAACAGGUGUGAUAAUUAUCUACACCAGUGGGUUGCUUUCACUUGUUCAGCUGCAAACUGUCUGCAAAGACAACUGAAAACUGAUUA
rnacentral:misc_RNA from 1 species